GCUUACGGACGAGCAAAGAAAGUGGCUUCUUGAGAUGGAAUCUAGUCCCGAUGAAGAUGCUGUGAA
rnacentral:pre_miRNA from 1 species